CAAAAGCGUAUAUUAAAGUUGUUGCAGUUAAAAAGCUCGUAGUUGAACCUUGGGCUUGGCUGGCCGGUCCAUCUUUUUUGACGCGUACUGGACCCAGCCGAGCCUUUCCUUCUGGCUAGCCUUUUGGCGAACCAGGACUUUUACUUUGAAAAAAUUAGAGUGUUCAAAGCAGGCCUUUGCUCGAAUAUAUUAGCAUGGAAUAAUAGAAUAGGACGUUAUGGUUCUAUUUUGUUGGUUUCUAGGACCAUCGUAAUGAUUAAUAGGGACGGUCGGGGGUAUCAGUAUUCAGUUGUCAGAGGUGAAAUUCUUGGAUUUACUGAAGACUAACUACUGCGAAAGCAUUUACCAAGGACGUUUUCAUUAA
rnacentral:rRNA from 1 species